rnacentral:rRNA from 1 species
CUGCUGCCUCCCGUAGGAGUCUGGGCCGUGUCUCAGUCCCAGUGUGGGGGGGCCUUCCUCUCAGAACCCCUACGCAUCGUCGCCACGGUGGGCCGUCACCCCGCCGUCUAGCUAAUGCGCCGCAUGCCCAUCCGCCACCGGAUCGCUCCUUUUGGCCACCGGAGGAUGCCCUCCGGUGGCGUCACGGGGUAUUAGGCCGCGUUUCCGCGGGUUAUCCCCUGUGGCGGCCAGGUUGCAUACGUGUUACUCACCGUGCGCCGGUCGCCGGG